UACGGAGGAUGCAAGCGUUAUCCGGAAUGAUUGGGCGUAAAGGGUCCGCAGGUGGCAGUGUAAGUCUGCUGUCAAAGAAUGAGGCUUAACCUCAUCAAGGCAGUGGAAACUACACAGCUAGAGUACGGUCGGGGUAGAAGGAAUUCCUGGUGUAGCGGUGAAAUGCGUAGAUAUCAGGAAGAACACCGGUGGCGAAAGCGCUCUGCUAGGCCGCAACUGACACUGAGGGACGAAAGCUAGGGGAGCGAAUGGG
rnacentral:rRNA from 1 species